UACGUAGGGCGCAAGCGUUGUCCGGAAUUAUUGGGCGUAAAGGGCUCGUAGGCGGUCUGUCGCGUCGGAUGUGAAAGCCCGGGGCUUAACCCCGGGUCUGCAUUCGAUACGGGCAGACUAGAGUGUGGUAGGGGAGAUCGGAAUUCCUGGUGUAGCGGUGAAAUGCGCAGAUAUCAGGAGGAACACCGGUGGCGAAGGCGGAUCUCUGGGCCAUUACUGACGCUGAGGAGCGAAAGCGUGGGGAGCGAACAGG
rnacentral:rRNA from 1 species